UACGUAGGGUGCAAGCGUUAAUUGGAAUUACUGGGCGUAAAGCGUGCGCAGGCGGUUUUGUAAGUCAGAUGUGAAAUCCCCGGGCUUAACCUGGGAACUGCGUUUGAAACUACAAGGCUAGAGUGUGGCAGAGGGGGGUGGAAUUCCACGUGUAGCAGUGAAAUGCGUAGAGAUGUGGAGGAACACCGAUGGCGAAGGCAGCCCCCUGGGUUAACACUGACGCUCAGGCACGAAAGCGUGGGGAGCAAACAGG
rnacentral:rRNA from 1 species